CAGGCCGAAAGUGAGGUGAGCUCCCCGGAAGUAUGCAGUGUAACGUCCUGGGACUCCUUCUAAGACAGGCGGAGGGGGAGUAUAUAGAAGAACGCAGGGGUCUGUACAAGGACGUGAUGAUGGAGAAUCACCGGCCCCUCACAUCACUGGAUGGGCCCAGUAACAGAGAUACCCCAGAGAGAUGUCCCCGUCCUCUGUAUUCCCAGGAAUGUACAGAGGAGAAUCACAGCAUCCCACAGGAGGAUCAGGCAGAAGAAGCAAAGCGGGAAUAGAUGUAUGCAACUGAUGUAAAGGUAGAAGAUAUGGAGGGAGAAGAAGAGACGUAUGUUACUGAUAUGAAGGUAGAAGAUACAGAGGUAAAAGAAGAGACAUAUGUGAGGGUUGACCAGCAGUGUAAGGAGGAGGCAAUCCCUACAGAUAUCAGCACAGCAGUUGGAGGCACAAGCCAGAAGACCUCAUAGGGAGAUCUCAUCUUGUCUGCAGAUAUUAAAAUAGAAGAUAACUUCACACAGGAUUCUCCAGGAGACAGCCCCAUUACUCUAAAUAUCCAUUCUGUACCUCACUGUGCAGAUAUAUCAUCUGAUCCCUCUAAUCAUGGGGAAUGUUCUCCUGAUAACUCAGAUGUUGCUACACAUAGUGCUGCUCUUGCAGCUGAUUCAGUCUUUACUUGUUCUGAAUGUGGUAAAAGUUUUGUACGUCAGUCAGUGUUUGUUAUACAUCAGAGGUAUCACCCAGGUGAGAGGCCGUUUCCAUGUUCUGAGUGUGGGAAGUGUUUUUUUCAGAAGUCACAUCUUGUUAUGCAUCAGAGAAGUCACACAGGUGAAAAACCAUUUCCGUGUUCUGAGUGUGGGAAAUGUUUUUCACAGAAAUCAGAUGUUAUUAAACAUGAGAGAAGUCACACAGGUGAGAGGCAAUUUCCAUGUCCAGAAUGUGACAAGUGUUUUGUAAAUAAAUCAAAUCUUGUUGUACAUCAGAAAAGUCAUGCAGGUGAGAAGCCAUUUCCAUGUCCGGAAUGUGGCAAGUGUUUUUCUCGUAAAUCAAAUCUUGUUGUACAUCAGAAAAGUCACACAUGAGAGACUAUUUCCAUGUUCUGAGUGUUGGAAAUGUUUUACAGAGAAAGUACUUAUUAGACAUCAGAGGAGUCACACAGGUGAGAGUCUGUUUCCAUGUUCUGAGUGUUGGAAAUGUUUUACAGAAUAAUCAGCACUUAUUAGACAUCAGAGAAGUCACACAGGUGAUAGGCCAUUUCCAUGUUCUGAGUGUGGGAAAUGUUUCACAGAUUAAUCAUUUCUUAUUAUACAUCAGAGAAGUCACCCAGGUGAGAGGCCAUUUCCAUGUUCUGAGUGUGGGAAAUGUUUUACAUAUAAAUCAAAUCUUGUUACACAUCAGAGAUGUCACACGGGCGAGAAGCCAUUUCCAUGCUCUGAGUGGGAAAUGUUUUACACAGAAAUCAAAUAUUGCUACACAUCAGAGAAGUCACACAGGUGAGAGGCCAUUUCCAUGUUCUAAGUGUGGGAAACAGUUUACAUAUGUAUCAAGUCUUGUUGCACAUGAGAAAAUUCACAGUGGUGAGAGGCCAUAUCCGUGUUCUGAGUGUGGGAAAUGUUUUACACAGAAAUCAGAUCUAGUUAAACAUGAGAGAAGUCACACAGGUGUGUAACUAUAUCCAUGUACUGAGGACCAACUUUGUAUGUAAAUCCUAUGGUUUUAGUACUAGUCUGCUUCGUUGGACACAGACUUCUUGGACCCGGUUGUCUAGAUCCGAUGGCCAUUCUGAGUAAGAUGCAGUUUAUGCAGACUAGCCAAGGUCUGCUACCAUCAGAAGUCGCUGAUCCGAUGCCGCUUCCUCAGACGUAGCCCACAGUCCUCCUGCUGCUUUCUAUUUGUAUGGUUUUGGACAGCUGCUUCCCGGCGUCUGUGCAUUUCCUUACAGAUCGACAUCAGGCCCUCAGUGCACAAUAUACUUUACACUGAAGUCAUAUCUUGUUACACACCAGAAAAUCCACAAGGAGAACUGAUUGGCAUGUGGGGAUGUCUGAGUGGUAUUAGUUUAUAUAUGAGAGGAAUGUACAUAGGACUGAAUGGCACUUGUGGAGCUUUUCAGUACUUGUGAGAUCUGAUGGGGUAUUUUAUGGCAUUUUGGAGCAAGUGAGGGGCAAUUUGGGAUGAAUGAUGUCGGCUGGCCCUGCAUUGGUUUUUUCCUCUUUUCUUUUCUGAAAUUUAGACCUCUGUGUGUUCCUUUAGGAUGUCGUAGGGCUGCACUUUCUGCAUUUUUAGCCGGAUGUGUACGCAGAAAAUUCUAAAAAUUGAGAGUCAUGAUAAAGUCUAUGUGAAGCAUACACGUAUCAGGUGUAACAUUAGACCCACCUGCCUAAUAUUGUGCAUCUCCCUGUUAUGCCACCAUAAGGCAUGGCUUCCAUAAGACCUCUGAAGGUGUUCUGAAGGAUCUGGAACCAAGAUGUCAUUAUCAGAUCCUUUAAGUCUUGUAAGCUGUGAGGUGGGGCCUCCAUGGCUCAAAAAGAUGCUCAUUGCCAGAGCAUCUAGCUGCCUCCAGGGGUUGCCUUCCCAUCUUGAAACCAUCCCCUCCAUAAGUGAAUGAUGCACCCGCCGUCCAAAUAUUUUAAAUUUUGCAAAUAUUAUAUUCUAAAUUAUAAAUAUAUUAGAUUAAAUUAUAAAUGUGGCAAAUAUUUAAAAUAUUGCAUUACUUUCAAAGAUGUAAGCUGCAGUGUGGGGCGGUGAUAUUAGUGUGCGAUGUACAUAAUGAGAGUAUGAUGCAGGAAAUGCAUCCUGAGGAAUGUGCAGGUCUGCACUGAAACGUGUCAACUUCCCCUAAAUUGUCCACACAAUGGCAGCAAUUGUUUUAUUCAGUACAAAGUUCUUCCAUCAGGAUCUAUCAUCACUGUCUUCAGCGUCAUUGAGUAACCUGCGACAGAGUAAUACAGUAGCUGUGUAUAACACCUAAUCCAGCCGUCUCUGCUACCGGUGUACAUGUAAUACAGACGCAGCGUCACUGAGUAACCUGUACCAGAGUAAUAGCUGUGUAUAACACCUAAUCCAGCCGCCUCUGCUACCGGUGUACAUGUAAUACAGACGCAGCGUCACUGAGUUACCUGUACCAGAGUAAUAGCUGUGUAUAACACCUAAUCCAGCUGUCUCUGCUACCGGUGUACAUGUAAUACAGACGCAGUGUCACUGAGUAACCUGCACCAGAGUAAUAGCUGUGUAUAACACCUAAUCCAGCCGUCUCUGCUACCGGUGUACAUGUAAUACAGACGCAGUGUCACUGAGUAACCUGCUCCAGAGUAAUAGCUGUGUAUAACACCUAAUCCUGACAUCUCUGCUACCGGUGUGCAUGUAAUACAGACGCAGCGUCACUGAGUAACCUGCACCAGAGUAAUAGCUGUGUAUAACACCUAAUCCAAACGUCUCUGCUACCGGUGUACAUGUAAUACAGACGCAGCGUCACUGAGUAACCUGCACCAGAGUAAUAGCUGUGUAUAACACCUAAUCCAGCCAUCUCUGCUACCGGUGUACAUGUAAUACAGACACAGUGUCACUGAGUAACCUGCUCCAGAAUAAUAGCUGUGUAUAACACCUAAUCCAGCCGUCUCUGCUACCGGUGUACAUGUAAUACAGACACAGCGUCACUGAGUAACCUGCACCAGAGUAAUAGCUGUGUAUAACACCUAAUCCAGCCGUCUCUGCUACCGGUGUACAUGUAAUACAGACACAGUGUCACUGAGUAACCUGCUCCAGAAUAAUAGCUGUGUAUAACACCUAAUCCAGCCGUCUCUGCUACCGGUGUACAUGUAAUACAGACGCAGCAUCACUGAGUAACCUGCACCAGAGUAAUAGCUGUGUAUAACACCUAAUCCAGCCGUCUCUGCUACCGGUGUACAUGUAAUACAGACACAGUGUCACUGAGUAACCUGCUCCAGAAUAAUAGCUGUGUAUAACACCUAAUCCAGCCGUCUCUGCUACCGGUGUACAUGUAAUACAGACGCAGCAUCACUGAGUAACCUGCGCCAGAGUAAUAGCUGUGUAUAACACCUAAUCCAGCCGUCUCUGCUACCGGUGUACAUGUAAUACAGACACAGUGUCACUGAGUAACCUGCUCCAGAAUAAUAGCUGUGUAUAACACCUAAUCCAGCCGUCUCUGCUACCGGUGUACAUGUAAUACAGACGCAGCGUCACUGAGUAACCUGCACCAGAGUAAUAGCUGUGUAUAACACCUAAUCCAGCUGUCUCUGCUACCGCUGUACAUGUAAUACAGAUGCAGCGUCACUGAGUAACCUGCACCAGAGUAAUAGCUGUGUAUAACACCUAAUCCAGCCGUCUCUGCUACCGGUGUACAUGUAAUACAGACGCAGCGUCACUGAGUAACCUGCACCAGAGUAAUAGCUGUGUAUAACACCUAAUCCAGCCGUCUCUGCUACCGGUGUACAUGUAAUACAGACGCAGCAUCACUGAGUAACCUGCUCCAGAGUAAUAGCUGUGUAUAACACCUAAUCCAGCCGUCUCUGCUACCGGUGUACAUGUAAUACAGACGCAGCAUCACUGAGUAACCUGCGCCAGAGUAAUAGCUGUGUAUAACCCCUAAUCCAGCUGUCUCUGCUACCGGUGUACAUGUAAUACAGACGCAGCGUCACUGAGUAACCUGCACCAGAGUAAUAGCUGUGUAUGACACCUAAUCCAGCUGUCUCUCUGCUACCGGUGUACAUGUAAUACAGACGCAGCAUCACUGAGUAACCUGCACCAGAGUAACACCUGUGUAUAACACCUAAUCCAGCCGUCUCUGCUACCGGUGUACAUGUAAUACAGACGCAGCAUCACUGAGUAACCUGUGCCAGAGUAAUAGCUGUGUAUAACACCUAAUCCAGCCGUCUCUGCUACCGGUGUACAUGUAAUACAGACUCAGCAUCACUGAGUAACCUGCACCACAAUAAUAGCUGUGUAUAAAAUCUAAUCCAGCUGUCUCUGCUACCGGUGUACAUGUAAUACAGACGCAGCGUCACUGAGUAACCUGCACCAGAGUAAUAGCUGUGUAUAACAUCUAAUCCAGCUGUCUCUGCUACCGGUGUACAUGUAAUACAGACGCAGCGUCACUGAGUAACCUGCACCAGAGUAAUAGCUGUGUAUAACACCUAAUCCAGCCGUCUCUGCUACCGGUGUACAUGUAAUACAGACGCAGCAUCACUGAAUAACCUGCGCCAGAGUAAUAGCUGUGUAUAACACCUAAUCCAGCCGUCUCUGCUACCGGUGUACAUGUAAUACAGAAGCAGCGUCACUGAGUAACCUGCACCAGAGUAAUAGCUGUGUAUAACACCUAAUCCAGCCGUCUCUGCUACCGGUGUACAUGUAAUACAGACGCAGCGUCACUGAGUAACCUGCACCAGAGUAAUAGCUGUGUAUAACAUCUAAUCCAGCUGUCUCUGCUACCGGUGUACAUGUAAUACAGACGCAGCGUCACUGAGUAACCUGCACCAGAGUAAUAGCUGUGUAUAACACCUAAUCCAGCCGUCUCUGCUACCGGUGUACAUGUAAUACAGACGCAGCAUCACUGAAUAACCUGCGCCAGAGUAAUAGCUGUGUAUAACACCUAAUCCAGCCGUCUCUGCUACCGGUGUACAUGUAAUACAGACGCAGCAUCACUGAGUAACCUGCACCAGAGUAAUAGCUGUGUAUAACACCUAAUCCAGCCAUCUCUGCUACCGGUGUACAUGUAAUACAGACGCAGCAUCACUGAGUAACCUGCACCAGAGUAAUAGCUGUGUAUAACACCUAAUCCAGCCAUCUCUGCUACCGGUGUACAUGUAAUACAGACGCAGCAUCACUGAGUAACCUGUGCCAGAGUAAUAGCUGUGUAUAACACCUAAUCCAGCCGUCUCUGCUACCGGUGUACAUGUAAUACAGACUCAGCAUCACUGAGUAACCUGCACCACAAUAAUAGCUGUGUAUAAAAUCUAAUCCAGCUGUCUCUGCUACCGGUGUACAUGUAAUACAGACGCAGCGUCACUGAGUAACCUGCACCAGAGUAAUAGCUGUGUAUAACACCUAAUCCAGCCAUCUCUGCUACCGGUGUACAUGUAAUACAGACGCAGCGUCACUGAGUAACCUGCACCAGAGUAAUAGCUGUGUAUAACAUCUAAUCCAGCUGUCUCUGCUACCGGUGUACAUGUAAUACAGACGCAGCGUCACUGAGUAACCUGCACCAGAGUAAUAGCUGUGUAUAACACCUAAUCCAGCCGUCUCUGCUACCGGUGUACAUGUAAUACAGACUCAGCAUCACUGAAUAACCUGCGCCAGAGUAAUAGCUGUGUAUAACACCUAAUCCAGCCGUCUCUGCUACCGGUGUACAUGUAAUACAGACGCAGCGUCACUGAGUAACCUGCACCAGAGUAAUAGCUGUGUAUAACACCUAAUCCAGCCGUCUCUGCUACCGGUGUACAUGUAAUACAGACGCAGCGUCACUGAGUAACCUGCACCAGAGUAAUAGCUGUGUAUAACAUCUAAUCCAGCUGUCUCUGCUACCGGUGUACAUGUAAUACAGACGCAGCGUCACUGAGUAACCUGCACCAGAGUAAUAGCUGUGUAUAACACCUAAUCCAGCCGUCUCUGCUACCGGUGUACAUGUAAUACAGACGCAGCAUCACUGAAUAACCUGCGCCAGAGUAAUAGCUGUGUAUAACACCUAAUCCAGCCGUCUCUGCUACCGGUGUACAUGUAAUACAGACGCAGCGUCACUGAGUAACCUGCACCAGAGUAAUAGCUGUGUAUAACACCUAAUCCAGCCGUCUCUGCUACCGGUGUACAUGUAAUACAGACGCAGCAUCACUGAGUAACCUGCACCAGAGUAAUAGCUGUGUAUAACACCUAAUCCAGCCGUCUCUGCUACCGAUGUACAUGUAAUACAGACUCAGCGUCACUACGUGACCUGUACCAGAGUAAUAGCUGUGUAUAACACCUAAUCCAGCCAUCUCUGCUACCGGUGUACAUGUAAUACAGACGCAGCAUCACUGAGUAACCUGCUCCAGAGUAAUAGCUGUGUAUAACACCUAAUCCAGCCGUCUCUGCUACCGGUGUACAUGUAAUACAGACGCAGCGUCACUGAGUAACCUGCACCAGAGUAAUAGCUGUGUAUAACACCUAAUCCAGCCGUCUCUGCUACCGGUGUACAUGUAAUACAGACGCAGCAUCACUGAGUAACCUGCACCAGAGUAAUAGCUGUGUAUAACACCUAAUCCAGCCGUCUGUUACCGGUGUACAUGUAAUACAGACGCAGCAUCACUGAGUAACCUGCACCAGAGUAAUAGCUGUGUAUAACACCUAAUCCAGCCGUCUCUGCUACCGGUGUACAUGUAAUACAGACGCAGCGUCACUGAGUAACCUGCACCAGAGAGUAAUAGCUGUGUAUAACACCUAAACCAGCCAUCUCUGCUACCGCUGUACAUGUAAUACAGACGCAGCAUCACUGAGUAACCUGCACCAGAGUAAUAGCUGUGUAUAACACCUAAUCCAGCCGUCUCUGCUACCGGUGUACAUGUAAUACAGACGCAGCGUCACUGAGUAACCUGCACCAGAGUAAUAGCUGUGUAUAACACCUAAUCCAGCCGUCUCUGCUACCGGUGUACAUGUAAUACAGACGCAGCGUCACUGAGUAACCUGCACCAGAGUAAUAGCUGUGUAUAACACCUAAACCAGCCAUCUCUGCUACCGGUGUACAUGUAAUACAGACGCAGCAUCACUGAGUAACCUGCACCAGAGUAAUAGCUGUGUAUAACACCUAAUCCAGCCGUCUCUGCUACCGGUGUACAUGUAAUACAGACGCAGUGUCACUGAGUAACCUGCACCAGAGUAAUAGCUGUGUAUAACACCUAAUCCAGCCGUCUCUGCUACCGGUGUACAUGUAAUACAAACGCAGCAUCACUGAGUAACCUGCACCAGAGUAAUAGCUGUGUAUAACACCUAAUCCAGCCGUCUCUGCUACCGGUGUACAUGUAAUACAGAUGCAGCAUCACUGAGUAACCUGCACCAGAGUAAUAGCUGUGUAUAACACCUAAUCGAGCCGCCUCUGCUACUGGUGUACAUGUAAUACAGACGCAGCGUCACUGAGUAACCUGCACCAGAGUAAUAGCUGUGUAUAACACCUAAUCCAGCCGUCUCUGCUACCGGUGUACAUGUAAUACAGACGCAGUGUCACUGAGUAACCUGCGCCAGAGUAAUAGCUGUGUAUAACACCUAAUCCAGCCGUCUCUGCUACCGGUGUACAUGUAAUACAGACGCAGCGUCACUGAGUAACCUGCACCAGAGUAAUAGCUGUGUAUAACACCUAAUCCAGCCAUCUCUGCUACCGGUGUACAUGUAAUACAGACGCAGCGUCACUGAGUAACCUGCACCAGAGUAAUAGCUGUGUAUAACACCUAAUCCAGCCGUCUCUGCUACCGGUGUACAUGUAAUACAGACGCAGCGUCACUGAGUAACCUGCACCAGAGUAAUAGCUGUGUAUAACACCUAAUCCAGCCGUCUCUGCUACCGGUGUACAUGUAAUACAGACGCAGCGUCACUGAGUAACCUGCACCAGAGUAAUAGCUGUGUAUAACACCUAAUCCAGCCGUCUCUGCUACCGGUGUACAUGUAAUACAGACGCAGCAGCACUGAGUAACCUGCACCAGAGUAAUAGCUGUGUAUAACACCUAAUCCAGCCGUCUCUGCUACCGGUGUACAUGUAAUACAGAUGCAGCAUCACUGAGUAACCUGCACCAGAGUAAUAGCUGUGUAUAACACCUAAUCGAGCAGUCUCUGCUACCGGUGUACAUGUAAUACAGACGCAGCGUCACUGAGUAACCUGCACCAGAGUAAUAGCUGUGUAUAACACCUAAUCGAGCCAUCCUCUGCUACUGGUAGUAAGUGAUCAACUCUGAAUGACCCACAUGGUUUUGCCCACUAGAGAAAGAUUUUUCUUCUGCGAUUGGGUCUGAAUUGUCACCAGGCAUUUCACACCGCAUGAUGUAUUGAGGCUAGAUGUCAGAGGACACAUCUGUACACGUAAUACAGACGCAGCGUUACGGUGACACUACCUGCACAUUACAUCAGAGGAGCAGUCACAUGCUCUGUAUGACGGCAUCACGGCUGUCUCCAUAUGAUCCUGCAGCGUAGGCACAUUCUGUAUCUCAUGCUGUGAUGUCAUCCCAUUACAUAAGAGUCCCCUGAUGUUAUGUGUCUCCGAUACCUUGAUAUCUGCUGAUAGCUGUGAUCACUCGCUGAAGAUUUGUUGUUAUAAUGAAUAUGUAAAGCUGUUUCUUGUAAUAAAAUGAU